rnacentral:rRNA from 1 species
GGGUUGUGAGGUUAAGCGACUAAGCGUACACGGUGGAUGCCCUGGCAGUCAGAGGCGAUGAAGGGCGUGCUAAUCUGCGAUAAGCGCCGGUAAGGUGAUAUGAACCGUUAUAACCGGCGAUACCCGAAUGGGGAAACCCAGUGUGACUCGUCACACUAUCAUUAACUGAAUCCAUAGGUUAAUGAGGCGAACCGGGGGAACUGAAACAUCUAAGUACCCCGAGGAAAAGAAAUCAACCGAGAUUCCCCCAGUAGCGGCGAGCGAACGGGGAGGAGCCCAGAGCCUGAAUCAGCAUGUGUGUUAGUGGAAGCGUCUGGAAAGGCGCGCGAUACAGGGUGACAGCCCCGUACACAAAAGCGCAUGUGCUGUGAGCUCGAUGAGUAGGGCGGGACACGUGGUAUCCUGUCUGAAUAUGGGGGGACCAUCCUCCAAGGCUAAAUACUCCUGACUGACCGAUAGUGAACCAGUACCGUGAGGGAAAGGCGAAAAGAACCCCGGCGAGGGGAGUGAAAAAGAACCUGAAACCGUGUACGUACAAGCAGUGGGAGCACCCUUCGGGGUGUGACUGCGUACCUUUUGUAUAAUGGGUCAGCGACUUAUAUUCUGUAGCAAGGUUAACCGAAUAGGGGAGCCGGAGGGAAACCGAGUCUUAAUUGGGCGUUAAGUUGCAGGGUAUAGACCCGAAACCCGGUGAUCUAGCCAUGGGCAGGUUGAAGGUUGGGUAACACUAACUGGAGGACCGAACCGACUAAUGUUGAAAAAUUAGCGGAUGACCUGUGGCUGGGGGUGAAAGGCCAAUCAAACCGGGAGAUAGCUGGUUCUCCCCGAAAGCUAUUUAGGUAGCGCCUCGUGAACUCAUCUCCGGGGGUAGAGCACUGUUUCGGCUAGGGGGCCAUCCCGGCUUACCAACCCGAUGCAAACUGCGAAUACCGGAGAAUGUUAUCACGGGAGACACACGGCGGGUGCUAACGUCCGUCGUGAAGAGGGAAACAACCCAGACCGCCAGCUAAGGUCCCAAAGUCAUGGUUAAGUGGGAAACGAUGUGGGAAGGCCCAGACAGCCAGGAUGUUGGCUUAGAAGCAGCCAUCAUUUAAAGAAAGCGUAAUAGCUCACUGGUCGAGUCGGCCUGCGCGGAAGAUGUAACGGGGCUAAACCAU